UGUUCCUACGGGGGGCAGCAGUGGGGAAUAUUGGGCAAUGGGCGCAAGCCUGACCCAGCAACGCCGCGUGAAGGAAGAAGGCUUUCGGGUUGUAAACUUCUUUUAUCAGGGACGAAGCAAGUGACGGUACCUGAUGAAUAAGCCACGGCUAACUACGUGCCAGCAGCCGCGGUAAUACGUAGGUGGCAAGCGUUAUCCGGAUUUACUGGGUGUAAAGGGCGUGUAGGCGGGAGUGCAAGUCAGAUGUGAAAACUAUGGGCUCAACCCAUAGCCUGCAUUUGAAAUUGUACUUCU
rnacentral:rRNA from 1 species